rnacentral:rRNA from 1 species
CUGUGCAAAGGUAGCAUAAUCAUUAGUUUUUUAAUUGAAAGCUGGAAUGAAUGGUUUAAUAAGAAAAAUUCUGUCUCGAUUUUAAUUUUUGAAUUUUAUUUUUAAGUUAAAAAGCUUAAAUUUUUUAAAAAGACGAGAAGACCCUAUAGAGUUUUAUAAAUAUAAUUUAAUUUUUAUUAAGAUUUAAAUUUAAAAUUAUGUUUAAUUAUUUUGUUGGGGUGAUAUAAAAAUUUAGCAAACUUUUUAUUUAUUUAAUCAUUAAUUUAUGUAUAAUUGAUUUUAAUUUAUGGAUUGAAAGAUUAAUUACCUUAGGGAUAACAGCGUAAUUUUUUUUGAGAGUUCUUAUCGAAAGGAAAGAUUGCGACCUCGAUGUUGGAUUAAAAUAAAAUUUUGGCGUACAAGUUAAAAAUUUAGGUCUGUUCGACCUUUAAAAUU